rnacentral:rRNA from 1 species
GCAUAUCAAUAAGCGGAGGAAAAGAAACUAACAAGGAUUCCCCUAGUAACGGCGAAGUGAAGAGGGAAGAAGCCCAAGAUUGAAAGCUGGCGUCUUUGGCGUCUGCAUUGUAAUCUCAAGAAGUGUUUUCCGCUUUGGACCAUGCCUAAGUCCCUUGGAAAAGGGCAUCAUAGAGGGUGAUAAUCCCGUACAUGGCAUGGAGCGCCCGAAGCUUUGUGAUACACUUUCUAAGAGUCGAGUUGUUUGGGAAUGCAGCUCAAAAUGGGUGGUAAAUGCCAUCUAAGGCUAAAUAUUGGGGAGAGACCGAUAGCGAACAAGUACAGUGAUGGAAAGAUGAAAAGAACUUUGAAAAGAGAGUUAAACAGUACGUGAAAUUGCCAAAAGGGAAGGGUAGGAGGUCAGAGAUGCGGUCUGGGAUUCAGCCUUGCUUUUGCUGGGUGUUUUUCUCAGAUUGCAGGCCAACGUCGGUUUUGGGCGCUGGAGAAGGGUGGAAGGAAUGUGGCACCUCUCGGGGUGUGUUAUAGCCUUCUACUGGAUACAGUGACCGAGACCGAGGACAGCAGCGUACUCGCAAGAGCGGGCCUUCGGGCACCUUUACGCUUAGGGCGUUGGCAUAAUGGCCCUCUACCACCCGUCUUGAAACACGGACCAAGGAGUCUAACAUGUAUGCGAGUCUUUGGGUGGCAAACCCAUAGGCGCAAUGAAAGUGAAUUCAGGUGGGAUCCGCAAGGUGCACCAUCGACCGAUCCUCACGUCUUUUUAAGUCGUGGAUUUGAGUAAGAGCAUACCUGUUGGGACCCGAAAGAUGGUGAACUAUGCCUGAAUAGGGUGAAGCCAGAGGAAACUCUGGUGGAGGCUCGUAGCGGUUCUGACGUGCAAAUCGAUCGUCAAAUUUGGGUAUAGGGGCGAAAGACUAAUCGAACCAUCUAGUAGCUGGUCCUGCG